rfam:Necator americanus N_americanus-1.0_Cont573.2, whole genome shotgun sequence.
GGCCUUGUGGCCUAAUGGAUAAGGCUUCGGAUUUCGGAUCCGAAGAUUGCAGGUUCGAGUCCUGCCAGGGUCG